AACGAACGCUGGCGGCAGGCCUAACACAUGCAAGUCGAACGAACCUUCGGGUUAGUGGCGCACGGGUGCGUAACGCGUGGGAAUGUACACCUUGGUAAGGAAUAACUGCUGGAAACGGUAGCUAAUACCUUAUAAUGACUUCGGUCCAGAGAUUUAUCGCCAAGGAAUCAGCCCGCGUUAGAUUAGCUAGUUGGUGAGGUAAUGGCUCACCAAGGCGACGAUCUAUAGCUGGUCUGAGAGGAUGAUCAGCCACACUGGAACUGAGACACGGUCCAGACUCCUACGGGAGGCAGCAGUGAGGAAUAUUGGACAAUGGACGCAAGUCUGAUCCAGCCAUGCCGCGUGAGUGAAGAAGGCCUUAGGGUUGUAAAGCUCUUUCAAUAGUGAAGAUAAUGACGGUAGCUAUAGGAGAAGCUCCGGCUAAAUUCGUGCCAGCCGCCGCGGUAAAAC
rnacentral:rRNA from 1 species